rnacentral:sRNA from 1 species
AUGGCUGUCGUCAGCUCGUGUCGUGAGAUGUUGGGUUAAGUCCCGCAACGAGCGCAACCCUUGUCAUUAGUUGCUACAUUCAGUUGGGCACUCUAAUGAGACUGCCGGUGACAAACCGGAGGAAGGUGGGGAUGACGUCAAGUCCUCAUGGCCCUUAUGGGUAGGGCUUCACACGUAAUACAAUGGCGCGUACAGAGGGUUGCCAAGGAGCGAUCUGGAGCCAAUCCCGAAAAGCGCGUCGUAGUCCGGAUUGCAGUCUGCAACUCGACUGCAUGAAGUCGGAAUCGCUAGUAAUCGCGGAUCAGCAUGUCGCGGUGAAUACGUUCCCGGGCCUUGUACACACCGCCCGUCACACCAUGGGAGUGAGCAACACCCGAAGCCGGUGGCCUAACCCGCAAGGGAGGGAGCCGUCGAAGGUGGGGCUCGUGACUGGGGUGAAGUCGUAACAAGGUAGCCGUAGCGGAAGCUGCGGCUGGAUCACCUCCUUUCUAGGGAGCCCUCUCAAAUCAGAGGGCACCGAUCGCCAGUUGGAUCUCCGUCUCAGGCCUUCGGGCCUCGCGGGGCUCUCCCAAGACGCGAUCGGCCACUAGACAUGUCGACCGGAUCUGGAGGCAGCUCGCUUGAGCUGCCUGGUGGCUUUCUCUGUGAGCAACCCGGAGGAAAUCUCUGAUUUCCUCCAAUGGUGGCUCGCUCGGUGAGCCACCACCGCAUGCUGUUGAGUUUUGAGAGACCGGCUCACCGCCGGCGGCUCGGAAUGGACCAACGUCCGAGAGCCCCGCGUGGUGAGCUCUGCCUCUUCGCGGACCUUGAAAACUGCACAGUUAGCCAAUGACACGGGGGGCGAAAGCAUCCUUACGCUUUCGUCCACUGGAAAUUUCAUUGAAGUUUCCUCAGGAGCUUGCGCAAGCAGGCUCCCAUUGGCAAGCCACUUGUGGCUUGCCACGAUCACCCGUCAAGAUAGUAAGGGCACAUGGUGGAUGCCUUGGCACCAAGAGUCGAUGAAGGGCGUGAACGGCUGCGAUAAGCCGCGGUGAGGCGCUGAAUGGCCAGUGACCCGCGGAUGCCCGAAUGGGGAAACCCGG